rnacentral:tRNA from 1 species
CCCUCCUUAGCUCAGUUGGUUAGAGCGCAUGACUGUUAAUCAUGCCCCGAUAGCUAUCGGGGUUGGUUCGAGCCCAAGAGGGGGAG